UGAUCUUCCGUAGGUGAACCUGCGGAGGGAUCAUUACCGAGUUUACAACUCCCAAACCCCUGUGAACAUACCUUACUGUUGCCUCGGCGGAUCAGCCCGCUCCCGGUAAAACGGGACGGCCCGCCAGAGGACCCCUAAACUCUGUUUCUAUAUGUAACUUCUGAGUAAAACCAUAAAUAAAUCAAAACUUUCAACAACGGAUCUCUUGGUUCUGGCAUCGAUGAAGAACGCAGCAAAAUGCGAUAAGUAAUGUGAAUUGCAGAAUUCAGUGAAUCAUCGAAUCUUUGAACGCACAUUGCGCCCGCCAGUAUUCUGGCGGGCAUGCCUGUUCGAGCGUCAUUUCAACCCUCAAGCCCUCGGGUUUGGUGUUGGGGAUCGGCGAGCCUUUCUGGCAAGCCGGCCCCGAAAUCUAGUGGCGGUCUCGCUGCAGCCUCCAUUGCGUAGUAGUAAAACCCUCGCAACUGGAACGCGGCGCGGCCAAGCCGUUAAACCCCCAACUUCUGAAUGUUGACCUCGGAUCAGGUAGGAAUACCCGCUGAACUUAAGCAUAUCAAUAAGCGGAGGGAG
rnacentral:rRNA from 1 species